GACGAACGCUGGCGGCGUGCUUAACACAUGCAAGUCGAACGGAAAGGCCCUGCUUUUGUGGGGUGCUCGAGUGGCGAACGGGUGAGUAACACGUGAGUAACCUGCCCUUGACUUUGGGAUAACUUCAGGAAACUGGGGCUAAUACCGGAUAGGAGCUCCUGCUGCAUGGUGGGGGUUGGAAAGUUUCGGCGGUUGGGGAUGGACUCGCGGCUUAUCAGCUUGUUGGUGGGGUAGUGGCUUACCAAGGCUUUGACGGGUAGCCGGCCUGAGAGGGUGACCGGCGACAUUGGGACUGCGAUAGGGCCCAGACUCCUACGGGAGGCAGCAGUGGGGAAUAUUGCACAGUGGGCGCAAGCGUGUUGCAGCAGCGCCGCGUGCGUGAUGACGGCCUUCGGGUUGUGAACAGCUGUGGCAUGUGACGAAGCGUGCGUGACGGUAAUGGGUCAAGAAGCACCGGCUAACUACGUG
rnacentral:rRNA from 1 species